rfam:Capsicum annuum cultivar Zunla-1 chromosome 1, whole genome shotgun sequence
UGGGGUGUGGCCAAGCGGUAAGGAAACGGGUUUUGGUCCUUCUAUUCGGAGGUUCGAAUCCUUCCAUCCCAG